rnacentral:rRNA from 1 species
GACGAACGCUGGCGGCGUGCUUAACACAUGCAAGUCGAACGAUGAAGCUAGAGCUUGCUCUGGUGGAUUAGUGGCGAACGGGUGAGUAACACGUGAGUAACCUGCCCCGAACUCUGGGAUAACUGCUGGAAACGGUAGCUAAUACCGGAUAUGACCAAUGAAGGCAUCUUCUGUUGGUGGAAAGAAUUUCGGUUCGGGAUGGACUCGCGGCCUAUCAGCUUGUUGGUGAGGUAACGGCUCACCAGGGCGACGACGGGUAGCCGGCCUGAGGGGGGAAUCGGCGCCUCUGGGAAUGAGGCACGGCCCAGACUCCGACGGGGGGCAGCAGUGGGGAAUAUUGCCCAAUGGGCGCAAGCCUGAUGCAGCAACGCCGCGUGAGGGAUGACGGCCUUCGGGUUGUAAACCUCUUUUAGCAGGGAAGAAGCGAAAGUGACGGUACCUGCAGAAAAAGCACCGGCUAACUACGUGCCAGCAGCCGCCGUAA